CUUGUGGACCUGUCCAGUGUUCAGGUGGCUUCCCCAGUGUGGCAGCAUUGGACCAGAUAUUUAUACGGAGGAGGUUCAAGAGAUGAAGUCAACGACGCCGAUAUGUCUAUCCACGGUCACAAUGCUCUUGGUCUCCGUCACUCAGACCUCAGGUAACCUUCAAGUGGCUUCUGAUGACUCUGGUCUCACAGUCAUCGCAUCCUACAAGGCCUUGGCAAUCAUCGGUAUCCUGAAGCUCUUGAUAGGAAUCCUAUUCCUGGUGGACAGCGAGGUGUACUUCUUCAAGAGGAAGAGAAGAGAUCUAUCAGAGGAAACAGAAGAUAGCAUUCUUCGACAGCAGCAGCAAUGGCUGACUACUACCCUGUUGGGGUGUGGCUUACAACUAAUCUGCGACUACCAGGGACGACGGUAAUCAUAUCUUGAGCGAGGAGGAGUUGAUACAGUCCAUCUUCGGGAGAAAGCCGGAGACCCCAUUGCAGCCGAAGAACCCAGACCUCCCCAACGGAGGAGGGUACGAUGAUGACCCCGUUCGGCUACGAGGAAGCCUGAUCGAGACCUGCGGUAGGCUGUUCCCUAGAUGCCCCUCCGCCUUCAGGAGAAUGCUGGAGAUCUUCGCUCCCGUACCCAAGCGGAGUUCUCACUAUGAGCUCUGAGAGAGAGAGAGAGAGAGAGAGAGAGAGAGAGAGAGAGAGAGGGAGAGAGAGAGAUCGACUCGAGUGAUGACUCUAUUCUUUAGUAAUUACUAUUCAUACCUUGCAUACUACAGUUAUUCAUGAGAGAGAGAGAGAGAGAGAGAGAGAGAGAGAGAGAGAGAGAGAGAGAGAGAGAGAGAGAGAGGGGCAGAUAGAAUCAUUCUAAGAAUUGCGACUAUACUUUUUUAAAUUGUUACUUAGCCAAGCACUAACACCAUCAAUUAUUCAUGCCUGAGAGAGAGAGAGAGAGAAAGAGAGAGAGAGAGAAUUUUUCUUCAGUAUCUGUACACUAUAAUUGUAAUAAUGUACCUGCAUUAAUUAUAAAAAGUAUUUAUUUAUUUAUUUAUUUAUUUAUUAUUUAAGUAUAUACGUAGUAUUACUAGAUUUGGUCCAGGGAAGAAACGCGAGUUACUUGCCAAGUUCGGUAUCGCCAAAGGUACCAUACGUUACUUAUUCAUAAAUUUAAUGUAAUUCCUUCAGAUUAAUAAAGAAAUAAAUAUAAUCUGUUAUCUAAGUAUGCAAAAACACACGGCUACCGAGGUUCUGUAAACUAAAGGUAUUAGGAGCCUUUGGAAUGAUCCCAAAACCAUAUACAUGGAACCUUAGGGACCUAAGGAAUUCCUAUUAGAUUGGGUGGAAGGAAGCAACACAGCCUGAACCUAUACAUGCUCAGAGGAUCCUGAAGUUAGUUGUCCUACAAGGACUAUACCAGACAAAGAACUCCGAUCAGAAUGCAUCAGAAAAGACACCAUGGGCGAUCUCCAUUACCCGUGGCUUUUGACCAAACUGAAGAGCCAGACCAAGUGGGACUCCAGCUAGGCCCAAGAGAACAGGUUCAUACGUUACUGUGCUCAUAGAGGAUAAUGUCCAACAAGAGGCAUUCAGGAAUGCACUGAGCAAGGGCAAUGGUCCUGCUGGCGAGUCUGGAAAGGACCUAUGAUUGAAUGACUGAAAUUUCUACCAUUUCUCUUUAUAUAGUAUGAAUGGCAAGUACAGUAUAUGCAGUACUAUGUUAUGUAUGUAAACAUUUAGAAAGGCUCCAACUAUUUCCUGCAUUUGUUACUAAAGUUUUGAAGAAGUUAGAGAAAUGGUGGGUGCAUGUUACAUAUCCCUUGUACAACUUUUCUCUAUGAAAUGAUCAUUACCCAUAAGUAAUUUUUUUUACCCAAUAAAUAAUUCCAAAGCUUUCAAGAUGAAGUUCAUGGAUAUAUUUGAGAGCAUCCUAUUCCAUACUAUGCACCUAUAUUGACAGGCUGGGUGUCAUAGUUUUGAGCAAAGAACUCUUCUACAGUUCUAACAAAAAAUUAGAUAGGGUCCAGCAUACUUAGCUAGGUUAACCUUGGUUAGCAAGCCACCCUGUAUUCUACCAGUUUAAUUUAUGAACCUCAGAAUUAGGUCAAGCUGGGGACGAAGAUCAAGGAGGGUGAAGACCUCAGUCAGGUAUGACCCAUCACAUGGGUUAGAGAAAGGUUCUUUAGAAUGGUUAGCUUGUGCGGGUGGGGGCUGGGGUGGGAGGAAGACCCUGAUUCUGCUAGGAUCCUGCCGUAUAUUGUAGGUUCAGAUGCAUCCACAUCACUGCCCUAGCCACAUUUAAAAAUUCUAUGGUAAUUGGUACUCAUUAAACAUAUGAAAUACAAAGUAUUUUACAACCUGCUAUGAGAUUCAGGGCCUCUGUAACACGGAUUUUUGGCAAUAACUUUUUAUCUAUGCAUUUCAUAGAUAUAACGCUUAUUCAGAAUACACAUUAUAUCUACACAUAAACUUUGACUGUAUUCUGCAUUACGUAGGUUGAAUAAAUUUGGUACUUAUAAUGUAAAAGUGACUUGUUUUGAAGACGGGCCAACUUACUCAGAGAUAAGGUUUCGAACGCACUCGUUACGUAACUUAUGACAGCUUUUCUUCUCUCUUUCUCGAUGGAGAUUAGUUUUGAUACUACGAGUAGGGAAGGUUGUAAUGAAAAAGUUGGAAAUGUAUUGACAACAUCAUGUAGUGAAAUCGAUGUAUAUAAAAUUAAUGUCACAGAUUUGAAACAUGAGCAAAUUAACGAUGUCUCUUUACAGCCUUUGUUUAAGAAUGCAUUGACAGAGAAGGAGAGUAUGGCAGAAUCUACAUGUUACUACUUAAAAGCUGGAGUGCUAAUGAGGAAAUAUAGAGCAAAUACCGCAGUGGCAACUGCCUCUUGGGAAGUUAAACAUCAGUUGGUGGUUCCAGCAACUCUGAAAAAUGAUGUGAUGAGGGUGGCCCAUGAAGUCUCUACUACUCAUCUUGGGAUUAAGAAGACAGCAUACAGUAUAUUGCAAUAUUUUUAUUGGCCUAGCCUUUUGCGUGAUGUGAAGGUAUUCUGCAAUUGUUGCAUAACCUGUCAAAAAGUAGGUAAGCCAAACCAAGCACCUAAACCAGUGCCUUUGGUCCCUCAAGUAGUCUGUAAUGUUCCUUUUGAAAAAGUUAUUAUUGACUGCGUUGGACCUCUACCAAAAACAAAAAGACAGCAUCAAUACAUGUUGACUAUAAUGUGUUCUAGUAUUAGAUAUCCAGAUGCUAUUCCUUUACGGAAUAUAACAACUAAGAAUCUUAUUCCACACCUUGUCAAGUUUUUUACUCAAUAUGGCAUCCCUAAAGUGGUUCAUAC